rnacentral:rRNA from 1 species
GAUGAACGCUGGCGGCGUGCCUAAUACAUGCAAGUCGAGCGAAUGGAUUAAGAGCUUGCUCUUAUGAAGUUAGCGGCGGACGGGUGAGUAACACGUGGGUAACCUGCCCAUAAGACGGGGAUAACUCCGGGAAACCGGGGCUAAUACCGGAUAACAUUUUGAACCGCAUGGUUCGAAAUUGAAAGGCGGCUUCGGCUGUCACUUAUGGAUGGACCCGCGUCGCAUUAGCUAGUUGGUGAGGUAACGGCUCACCAAGGCAACGAUGCGUAGCCGACCUGAGAGGGUGAUCGGCCACACUGGGACUGAGACACGGCCCAGACUCCUACAGGAGGCAGCAGUAGGGAAUCUUCCGCAAUGGACGAAAGUCUGACGGAGCAACGCCGCGUGAGUGAUGAAGGCUUUCGGGUCGUAAAACUCUGUUGUUAGGGAAGAACAAGUGCUAGUUGAAUAAGCUGGCACCUUGACGGUACCUAACCAGAAAGCCACGGCUAACUACGUGCCAGCCGUCGCAGUAA